UAUACAUAUACAUAUGCCUGCCUCUCCAAUCGUUGGUUCGCUCCUUCAACAAAUCCGGCGCUCCCUCUAUCGUUGCUCCACUUCGCCUCCGCCCAUUCAACGCCCGGCCGCUCAGCCUUGGGCCUUCACCAUCCACCUUGCCACCUCCCUUGCCGUCGCCCAGACCACCGGUUGGGCCCUCUACCAUUUGCCCUACCACCCGCGACCACCCAUCAGUAACAUAGUGCCGCCACUAGUUGCGACUCCCCACCCCCUACCCAUGAAAUCGUUGGUGCCUUUCCCCAUUGCACGUGUUCAUGGGUUCGUCCCAAAACGUAACUUUUAUAUUGAUUCGCGUGCAUGGAUCGCCGAGCAUCCCUUCCUCUGCUCUUUGCAGUCUCUUACAGGCUGCUGUUUCUGUUCGUGAGCCUCGACUCCCAAAGGCCUAUCCCUUGAGAAAUGAGUUUAAGUGAUUUGACAUUAAUUUUCAAAGUUAUUAGUGUGUGAGGCCUCUAUCAUAUUGGUGGAUGAUAUUUUACCAAAUAACAACUACCAAACAAUCAAUGGCAUUCGGGUGUCUCGUAACAAUGGUGCAAAUAAUGUUGUACGUGCCUUUGAGCUUGAAGGUUUGUGUAAAGGUUCCCUGCUGCAUGUAGAAUGUUGUACGCAAAAAGGACAUCACACAAAUGAAGAAUGUUCAAGCAUUUCUCUGCUGCAUGUAGAUUCUUCUUUUAUGAUCCAUCUCGUGCUUUCGUGAAUCUUGCAAUGGAACUUUUCUAUCAGAGUCCAACUCACGGUGAUUGGGACCUGACCACAAGGUUCAAGCAACAUUUUGUUUUUGAUAGUGUCGGGAAUUUUGGGAUGGUUUCUGAACCCAUGCUCUCCCCUAGUCAAUUAUAAAUGGAGUCUGCCUUUCUCCUCCCUUUCAAUUGGUAUUAAAGCUUGUGCUACCUUGUUUCGUGUUUCAUGAGAUAGGUUAAUUGUAUUGGAGGGGUGGGUCAUCGAUUUCAUUUGUUACAAUUCUAUUGGUACUUUCUCAAGUCAUAUGACAAAGUAAGAUCCUGAAGAUUUUCUUGUUCAUAGCUUCA